rnacentral:snRNA from 1 species
AUACCUUUAUAAACCUUUUGGCUAAGAUCAAGUGUAAUAUCUAUUCUUAUCAGUUUAAUAUAUGAUACGUGGGUAAUGGUCCACAUGAUAUUAACACACUUAUGGCGAUCAAAU